GACGAACGCUGGCGGCGUGCCUAAUACAUGCAAGUUGAGCGAUGAAGAUUGGUGCUUGCACCAAUUUGAAGAGCAGCGAACGGGUGAGUAACGCGUGGGGAAUCUGCCUUUGAGCGGGGGACAACAUUUGGAAACGAAUGCUAAUACCGCAUAACAACUUUAAACAUAAGUUUUAAGUUUGAAAGAUGCAAUUGCAUCACUCAAAGAUGAUCCCGCGUUGUAUUAGCUAGUUGGUGAGGUAAAGGCUCACCAAGGCGAUGAUACAUAGCCGACCUGAGAGGGUGAUCGGCCACAUUGGGACUGAGACACGGCCCAAACUCCUACGGGAGGCAGCAGUAGGGAAUCUUCGGCAAUGGACGAAAGUCUGACCGAGCAACGCCGCGUGAGUGAAGAAGGUUUUCGGAUCGUAAAACUCUGUUGGUAGAGAAGAACGUUGGUGAGAGUGGAAAGCUCAUCAAGUAACGGUAACUACCCAGAAAGGGACGGCUAACUACGUG
rnacentral:rRNA from 1 species